rnacentral:hammerhead_ribozyme from 1 species
ACCCAACUGACGAGUCCCAAAUAGGAUGAAACGCACAUCCUGGAU